AGAUAUAUAGGGAGACUUCAUCUCAAAACACAAAUAAUAGUCGAAGAAGGAGAAUGUAGACACAGCAUCAUUUAUUUCCUGCUAUAUGUCAGGCACUAUAACCAGUGUUUUAAGGAAACAGUCUCCUUCCCACUGGGGAUGUUUGAAGUGUGAAGCCAAGUAGAAGACACUCUACUAAUUACUUAACUCAUGGCUGUGACCAACUACAUGACAAGGAACAACUAACCAAAGGGAAGAAUGGAAUCUAGGAGUGGCUGACUGGUUUGGGCUGUGUUUUUCACAAGGUAGUAAUGCAAAUGUGGCCCAGGGCUGUGGUCAUAUAAAAAGAUCAACUGAGGGCAUCUUGAAGUCACUCACCUGACUGCACACAGGCCUCAAAAGAUCUCUACCAAGAUGACUCAUAUGAAUGUUGGUGGCUUCAGUUCCCUGCUGUGUGGUCUUCUCCCCAGGCUGCCUGAACAUCUGACAUGACUGCCCUCUCCAGCUUGUGCUGCCAUGACACACACGUUGGGUCCAGCUCAAGCGAAGCAAGGAAAAGAGCCUCCGAGAUGACAGUCAUACCCUUCCACAUAUAGCCCCACCUAAGCCCUCACGUGUCUCCAGCCAUUUUGAGGCUCUUCAAUUGAGACCCCAAGCAAUGUCGAACAGAGGCAGGGAUUCUCUGAUGUACCCUGGUACAACUCCUAAUCCAAAUAAUCUUGACAGAAUACGCUGGUCGUCAUUUGC